rnacentral:tRNA from 1 species
GGAGGUAUAGCUCAGUGGUAGAGUAUGUACUUAGCAUGCACGAGGUCCUGGGUUCAAUCCCAGGUACCUCCA